rnacentral:rRNA from 1 species
UACGUAGGGUGCGAGCGUUGUCCGGAAUUAUUGGGCGUAAAGAGCUCGUAGGCGGUUUGUCGCGUCGACUGUGAAAACCCGAGGCUUAACCUCGGGCCUGCAGUCGAUACGGGCAGACUAGAGUUCGGUAGGGGAGACUGGAAUUCCUGGUGUAGCGGUGAAAUGCGCAGAUAUCAGGAGGAACACCGGUGGCGAAGGCGGCGUUCUGGACUGUUUCUGACACUGAAUAACGAAAGCCAGGGGAGCAAACGGG